GGGGAACCUUCCGCAAUGGACGAAAGUCUGACGGAGCAACGCCGCGUGAGUGAUGACGGCCUUCGGGUUGUAAAGCUCUGUUAAUCGGGACGAAAGGCCUUCUUGCGAAUAGUUAGAAGGAUUGACGGUACCGGAAUAGAAAGCCACGGCUAACUACGUGCCAGCAGCCGCGGUAAUACGUAGGUGGCAAGCGUUGUCCGGAAUUAUUGGGCGUAAAGCGCGCGCAGGCGGAUUGGUCAGUCUGUCUUAAAAGUUCGGGGCUUAACCCCGUGAUGGGAUGGAAACUGCCAAUCUAGAGUAUCGGAGAGGAAAGUGGAAUUCCUAGUGUAGCGGUGAAAUGCGUAGAUAUUAGGAAGAACACCAGUGGCGAAGGCGACUUUCUGGACGAAAACUGACGCUGAGGCGCGAAAGCCAGGGGAGCGAACGGGAUUAGAUACCCCGGUAGUCCUGGCCGUAAACGAUGGGUACUAGGUGUAGGAGGUAUCGACCCCUUCUGUGCCGGAGUUAACGCAAUAAGUACCCCGCCUGGGGAGUACGACCGCAAGGUUG
rnacentral:rRNA from 1 species